rnacentral:lncRNA from 1 species
CCAACCCGGAAGGACCACGGAUUUGCUGGCCAAGUUAGAGCUGAGCUUGCCAAGUUAGACAUGAUUUCAUGCCGUGGGGCUUUUUCUAGGGCUGGCUCUGUUUUCUUUAGCCUAUCGCCUGCUUAAAUCGGGGCCAGGAAGUGGCAGGUGAGGAGGCAGCCCCAGGAAAUAGUCCAGGAGGAUUCGUGGGGAGGGGCGUGCUUUUCCCCUCGAUCAGCAAGCACCGAGUCCCUUUCAACACCCAGAAAUAGACGCCACUGAGCUCUCUCUCCUCUGACCAUAAAAAGCAGCUGGCCCUGUAGGGAAGGCUGGCGGCUGCAAGCUCCAGGAGGCAGGAGCAGGAAUAAAGGCUGCCUGAGGAGCUUGGGAGUCCUGCUGCUGGCUCGAUGCUGGAGCCAUUCAGUCUCCUGGGCAAGAAACCCACCAGCUGAACACAGGCCGAGUCUCGCAAACAGUCCUGCGGCCACGGGGGCUCGGGCCACUCCUCGUUUCUGAGCUGCGCCCUGUGACUAUUUACUAAAACUCGCCAGGCCGCUGCUGCUCUGUGAUGACCUCGAACCCGAACUUCAGCCCGAACCCGAACCCGCGUCACACUGCAGGCAGCCACUUCUGUGACGCAGUUCUAGCUCUUUGCACCGGGUUUUGCGUGCUCGUCUGACAUGCGUUCGGGGAAACUGAGCAUCCGGGAGCCGGUGUAAGCCGUGACCGCAGCCUGAGGAGCCGGGCCCUCCUGCGGGGGUUGAAUGCCGGGUCCCUGGCACGCGGAGGAGAGGCGGUGGGAGGCGGGGCGCGGCCGGAGCGCUGCACGCCGCUGGCCUCUGCCCCGCAGGCCUGGCCGAGGAGCGGAGGCGCCCGGCUGGGCCCCACAGACACCGGGACUGUGGCCAUCAGGCCAGGGCCAGGGACUCCGUCUGCACCCGGCCUCUAGGGCCCUCACUCCCACAGCGCCCCCCAGCGGCACAGGGCCUCCUGGACGGAACUGAAAGUCUGAAAGUCCUGCCGGGCGACGCUCUGUUUGCACGUUUCGUCCACGUCUGCAGUGCAUCGUGACUGCGCUCCUCCCGUGGCGAAGGGACUGAAUGUUCCCAGGAGAAAUGGAGUUCUCUCCAACUGUUACUCAUGAAGAGGGCUGAUCCACCAAAGAACAAAUUCUUGGGAGAACUCAUACAAAUUUUUUUUCUACAUAAUUCUGUUAGUGUAUUUUCUUUGCUGGCUUUUAUUCAAAAGUUUAUUCAUAGAAGAUUGGAAGGAGCAAAGUUUAUAGUGCUUAUAAGAAUUUUUAAUUCCCAAAUGAUUCUUUUACAUAAUUAUUAAUUAUGAGCAAUAUAAUAAAGAAGUUCCAAUUUAAAUGGUUUCAUUAUAUUUCAUAGUUGGCCAAGUCAAAAGUUAAUAUCAUCAAUUUAUUCACAUUCCUAAGCAGAGCUGACUUCUUGCUCAAGUCUUAACUGAGACAAAGCCUACCUGCUGGGGCAGGCCAUUAAAUUUGAUCUUAUAAUUGUGUGUUCUUCUUGACCCAGUGCAUGCUUUUAUGAUUAUAUUGUAUUGUCUACCAAUAUAAAGACUGAGUUUAAACUAUUCAGAGUGUGAAAGUCAUGUUGAAGAUUUAGAAAAUCAUCAUUAUAGUCAGCAAACAAUUCUGUGCCAUUUACAGUGUAGUCUGCGAUGUAUCCUGUGGCCAUGGACUAUAGAUGUACAUAUCAUCAUCAAAGGGUCACCUAAAUGUCUCCUUACCAAAAUAAAAGGGCCUCCUCUUUCCUAUAACUUUUCCUAAGUACCUUAUCAAUAAUCUUUGUGGUUUUCUAUUUAACCUUUCUCUAAUUUUUCAAUGUCACUUAUAAAUAAUGAGUCCAGAAUCAUACAUUUGGGUUUUUAAAGGAAUCUGACAGGAGAUGUCUUUCUGUUUUUGUUUCAUGAGGGUGAUGUAGUAAUAUCCAUUUAUCCACAGGUCAAACUCCGCAAGGGCAGCCAUUGGUGUAAUCAGCAAAAAGCCAUCCUGCAGCUGGAAAAAAAUUACAUCUUUGAAUAAGUAGGUAAAACAAAUCUUUUAGGAAAGAGGAAAAACCCCACAGUUGGCUGUGUGGCAGAGGACUGUCUUUUGUCUUUCCUUCCUGUGCCUUUCCCAGUGGGGUUCUCUUAUUUCUGUCAUCCUGCUGUGUCCUGUAUUGGCUCAACUUCAGUCCCAACACAUUUGUUUUCUUUAUUUCCAUAGUGCUGCUGGAGGAGUUUAACAUUUUGGAAAAGAAACUCAAUAAAAACUAAGGAGAAUAUAUAUUUAAAAAAUAAAAAAAUGCAAAUACCCUGAAAAUAACCAAUUUUGCAAACUACAGGGUUUGGAAUUGAAGAAAACCAAACACUUGCCAUCAUCUACUGCUACAACCAUGGGUUCCUUUCCUCCCAGCAGCUCAGAUUCUUUGCCUCUGGUCCUCACACCCCAACCCAAAGGCCCAAAUAACUCAUGGUGGGAACAUCAGGUACCUGAAGUUUAAAUGUAUCCUUCUAUGGGAAGAACCAGAGUGGAACUAUCAAAACAGGAGGAAGAACUGCUUUUAGUACUCCCUCAUGCAUGGCCACAUCUGCCAUCCCCUUCUCAUGCCCUUUCCUCUGUCUUCAGGAAGGACAAUGAAGGGGGUGAGGAAAUUCCAAGAUCAUCUCUUGGUAGAAAAGAGGAACACGUAGCCCUCCCUACCUGGACUUCUGCCUGGACCUCUGCUGUAAGCUUCAGUGCUGUACAGGGUGAUUGCACCUUCUUAAUUUUCCAGAGUCUCUGAAAGAGAAAGGAAGCCAAUCUUGCCCUCCAGGAAAUGGGGGACAAUGUUGACUGUCACCACUUUGUACAGCUAUUGCUUGUUUAACAACUGUUAUGGCUUGCAUUUAGAUGUCCCCCAAAGCCUCACGUGGUCAUAGGUGGGGCUUUUUCAGAGGUGGCUAAAUCUAGACUGUGCAAUGCUGGAAUUGAUUCAUGAUGCAAUGCUAAGAUGAAGGGCACUAGGAUUAAAGGUGUGAGUGCUACCCACCCUAAGUAGCUGAAUAAGAUGUAAGGGAUAGAAAGAACUGUUGUUGUCCCUUGUUGCUUUUGCUACCUUCUGCCCCAUCAUGAACUCUUUCUCUUCUAUGAUGCCUGUCUGCCUUGCCAGCCUGCCUUGGAGCCAGAUGCUUAUAGACUAAAAUCUGCAGAAACUGUGAGCUAAAUAAACUUUUCCUCCCUUAACUUGUGAAUAUUGGGUAUUUUGUCUCAACAAGAAAAGUAACUAAUACAGAAUUUGGUACCAGGAGUGAGGUUGUUGCUGUGACUAUACCUGACCAUAUGGUUCAGGAGUUUGACAAGAGUUUGUAAAGGUUCAGCGAUACUGGCUAAAAAGGUAGAGCUGGAACACCUUAGGUUAUACUUGAUGGAAGAUUCUGGUCAGAGCUCAAAAGACCAAAAGGCUGAUAGAAAUCCUUCUAGUAAGGAAGGAUAGGAAUCCUUCCAGUAAAGACCAGGAUUGAGAUAUUUCUGCUGGAAAGAAACACCUCAUUAGCUGUUAGAUUCCAGACAAUAUGUGUUACACUUUCAUAGAAAGUUUGUCUACAUUUUGCUCAUGUCCAGAGACUUUGCCUAAGACUAAGAUUAAGGGUGGCAGACUAAUGAAUCUUCCAGAAAAAAUUUUGAGGAAGUCUAAUGUUGAGUCCAUGACAUAGCUUCUGUUGGGGGCUUCUAGCCAGAUCUAUGUUGAGAAUCAAGACCAAAGGGGCCAACAGAAUGACUUAAAACAUUGUAAGUUUGGCCAAAAAAAAUAAAAAUCAAUGGUCUGUGGACUGCAAAGAUAGAGCAGAAGAGAUCUUACUUGCAGCAAAAAAAAAAAAAAAAAAACAAAAACCCAAAAAACAAAAGAAUUAAAAAGAUGGUCUAAGGACAUCACAUGAAACAGCAGGACUCCAGCCUUUACAGUCUUAAAAUUGCAAAAGUAAAAGACUUUGCUUUAAAAAGAGAGCCCAGACCAUGUUCCAGAAUGGCAGUGGCCUAGGAAAGCUUUAUUUUCAGGAUUUGGUUCAGAGGCACUGGACCCCUACAGCCAAGAGAGAAGGAAGCCCGGCUACUGCUCCAGCUGGUGGCAGACCUUGGCAUCAUCCACGUGGUGCUGGUUUUAGGCACAUGCAGAUUGUGGGAGUUGUGGUGUCAGGAAGGCUUCCACCCAGAUUUCAGAAGAAGGCCUGGGAGGCAAGGCUGUGUGCCCCUGAGAGGGCAAGGGAAACAAUGCAAAAGAGAUCCCAAAAGUUGAGAGAAGCCAAGAACAUGGAUUGUCUGAGGAAAACUAUAGAGAGAGCAGAGCUGGCCCCAGAGAGAAGCCAUAUCAGCUACAGCAAGUGGCAGUGCUGUACAGACAGAGCCACCCAAGCCCUUUGGAGUUCACAACUUGCAAAUUGCAGAGCAUGCUGAAAGUGAAACUGUGAGAUUUGAUGUUUGCCCUGCGAGAUUUGGGUCUUGCUUUGUUAUCAUUCCUUGCUGUCCUUCUGUUUGUAACUUUAAAAAUAGAAGUGUCUAUCUUGUGCCAUCAAAUGUUAAAAGUGUUUAACUUUCUUUUCAUUUGUACAGGGGCUUGCAGCUAAGAGUUUGCCUUAAAUCUCAGAGGAGACUUGGGUCUUGGACUUUUCAGCAGUGCUGAAACUGUCAGGAUUUUGUCACCUCUUAGAGACGGACUCCAUGCCUUUUGCAUAAAGAGAUGUGCAUGAGUCUAGGGGGAGGGGCCAGGGGAUGAAUGCUUUGGCUUCUGUCUAGAUGUCCGCCUAAAGGCUCAUGUGGUCAUACGUGAUGGUUUUUUGGAGGUGGCUAGAUCUAGUGUGUGUGACUCUGGAAUUGAUGCAGUGCUUGGCUCGAGGCCAUUAGGAUUAAGGGUGUGAGUGCUGCCUGCCCUAAGUAGCCUGGAUAAGAAAGAGCUGUGGUUGUCCCUUGUUGCUUUGGUGCCUUUGCUCACCAUGAACUGUUUCUCCUCUGUGAUACCUGCCUGCCAUGCCACCCUGCUUUGGACCCAGCCUAAAACCUCUACAAACUGUGAGCUACAUAAACCCUUUUUCCCUUAACUUGUGGGUGUUGGGUAUUUUGUCUCAACAAUGGAAAAAUGUAACUAAGACAAUGACCUACCGUUUUAAUGACUGUUCAGGCUUAUGACCCUCCACUUGGACUUACACCCAAAUUCAGACUUACAACAAAAGAAUGCAAGCAGCAGUGCAGCCUUAUGGUGGCUCCUUCUACAGUGCUGUGAUUUUUGCUGAUUGUACUGUACUGUAGUUUUACGUUCUGUUAUACAUUACAGUAGCAUGUAAGAGUUAUGCAAAUAAAAGCAAAGUCAUCCAGUUGGAGUUUCUUUUGACCAUUUCUUUGUUCAGAAAAGUGUAAUGUGCAUACUGUAUACAAUUCCUCAUUUAGGGACCAAGUCGUUUAAUGACCCAGUUGCAGAAGCACAGCUAUGUCAUUAAGCAAGGAAUGUCCAUGACUCCUGUCAGCGACCUCUAAUGAAGAGACCAGUAAUGUUCCUGAGUAUCCCACAACACAACAAAGAGGUAUGCAGUUAAAAAAAAAAAUUGUCAAUAAGGCCAAGUUGAAAAACCCUGCAUUGAAACCAUAAAUAGCUAAUACAUUUUAGAUAUAUUCUGGAAACUGCCAUUGAAAAGUGAUUAUAGAUUUGAGAGUUUUCAAGGAGUAUCUUUUAGUCUAUAGUAAACUCAGGAUACAAUUAAAAAUAUCUCUUUAGAUGAAAACGAGAAACACCUUUACUGUCCAAAUUCUUUGGACAGUCAUCCAUAAUUUACUGAUCUGUGAGUAGGUUUAGAAAUUCUGGUGGAACUUAGGAAAAACAAACCUGUCCCCUCAGCUUUAAUAGUGUGAUCCAUGUGUUGUGGUCACAGCAUUCUGAGGGGUGAGUAUGGAACAUUUGUGCUCCCACAGGGACUGUUCCCUCACUGCCUCAGUAGCAGCUCCUUUUAGGCAAGUGUUCCAGCUUCACUAAUUUUUGAAGUUUUUGGUAAUGUUUUAUUUUUUAUUAGUCCACGUUUGCAGAACAUUAAUGACCACAUUCCUCCCGGGAAAUCGGUGCAUGCACACGAUACAGCUUAAGUCUUUUUUCACCGCAUUCUCUCCUCCCUCCCUGCCUCUUUCUCCUCCCUUCAUCACUCCAUCCCCUUUCUCUUAGAGAAGGACCUGUCUCCCUACUUCCUGUUAUCUAUCUUUUAUUUUCUCUUUGGGUUUCUCAUAUAAAAGAAACCAUGCCACAUUAAAGCUUGUGGGCCUGAUUUACUUCACUUAACAUCAUGGUCUCGAGGUGCAUC